rnacentral:misc_RNA from 1 species
GAUGAAGAACGCAGUGAAAUGCGAUAAGUAAUGUGAAUUGCAGAAUUCAGUGAAUCAUCGAAUCUUUGAACGCACAUUGCGCCCCCUGGUAUUCCGGGGGGCAUGCCUGUUCGAGCGUCAUUUCACCACUCAAGCCUCGCUUGGUAUUGGGCAACGCGGUCCGCCGCGUGCCUCAAAUCGACCGGCUGGGUCUUCUGUCCCCUAAGCGUUGUGGAAACUAUUCGCUAAAGGGUGCUCGGGAGGCUACGCCGUAAAACAAACCCAUUUCUAAGGUUGACCUCGGAUCAGGUAGGGAUACCCGCUGAACUUAAGGAUAUCAAUAAGCGGAGGA